GAUGAACGCUGACAGAAUGCUUAACACAUGCAAGUCGAUGGGGAAGUGGUGCUUGCACCCUGGUAACCAUGGCGGACGGGUGAGUAACGCGUAAGGAACUUACCUGCGGGACCGGGAUAACAGCAGGAAACUGCUGACAAGACCGGAUAAGGUCAUUAAGCUGCAUAGCUUAGUGAUGAAAGGAGACGCCUGCGGAGAGCCUUGCGUCCUAUUAGCUAGUUGGAGGGGUAACGGCCCACCAAGGCGAAGAUAGGUAGCCGGCCUGAGAGGGUGGACGGCCACAAGGGGACUGAGAUACGGCCCUUACUCCUACGGGAGGCAGCAGUGGGGAAUAUUGGACAAUGGGGGCAACCCUGAUCCAGCAAUUCUGUGUGCACGAAGACGGUUUUCGGAAUGUAAAGUGCUUUCAGCAGGGAAGAAGGAAGUGACGGUACCUGCAGAAGAAGCGACGGCUAAAUACGUG
rnacentral:rRNA from 1 species